CCUAAAGAUAUCCUGACUGUGCAGUGUCCACACAGAUUGUCUGAUGAAAAAGUAACGAGCAGAAAUACCUUUAUAGGCUUGUAGCUCAGGUGGUUAGAGCGCACCCCUGAUAAGGGUGAGGUCGGUGGUUCAAGUCCACUCAGGCCUACCACUUCUCUCCUAUGCUGCGUUAUGGCGCCGCUCGCAUAUUUCAAUAUGCGUCGCGACACCACGCCUUGCCUAGAAGAGAAGUAGUAAACCGAAGGUCUCUGUCAGUGACUGUAUGGGGCUAUAGCUCAGCUGGGAGAGCGCCUGCCUUGCACGCAGGAGGUCAGCGGUUCGAUCCCGCUUAGCUCCACCAUAUAAGUCCGAAUAUCAAUACUUCAGAGUAUAUUGGCGACAGUAUGCUGCGAAGUAUUUUGCUCUUUAACAAUCUGGAACAAGCUGAAAAUUGAAACAUGACGGCUGAAACUUGUCCCUCCGUAGAAGUUUGGGAUAAGGAGUAGCCUGUCAUAGAGUCUCUCAAAUUUAUUACAACCCCUAGCAGGUUGAGCGAGCCAAGUGAAAUCAAGGCGCCCAGCGCGGAGGAAGCGGAGUGGACUUAAUGUCCAUGAGCAUUCCGAGCACUGCGUAACGCAGAAUUCACAACGCGCAGCCAACCGGCCAGACAGAAGAAACAUCUUCGGGUUGUGA
rnacentral:misc_RNA from 1 species